UCUCAAGCUACUACGGGCACACGGUGGAUGCCUUGGCGCCAAGGGCUGAUGAAGGACGCUGCUGGCGGCGAAAGGGUCGGGGAGGUGCUAAGCAACCUUCGAUCCGGCCGUCUCCGAAUGGGGCAACCCGGCGCGGGUCAUGCCGCGUCAUCCCGUGCUGAAUUCAUAGGUGCGGGAGAGCCAGCCGGGGAACUGAAACAUCUCAGUACCCGGAGGAACAGAAAUCAAACGAGAUUCCCUGAGUAGUGGCGAGCGAAAGGGGAAGAGCCCAAACCUCGGGCGUGCCAAGCUCGCGGGCGUUGCGCUCGAGGGGUUGCAGGACGUCGCCGGACGGGACCGCGAUCCUGUCGGGAAGUUACCAAUCCGUGCGCUAGCCGAACGAUCCUGGAACGGUCGGCCAGAGCGGGUGAAAGCCCCGUAGGCGAAAGCGGACGGACUUCCUGGGCGGUGUUCCUGAGUACCACGGGACACGUGGAACCCCGUGGGAAGCCGGGAGGACCACCUUCCAAGGCUAAAUACCCUUGGCGACCGAUAGUGCACGAGUACCGUGAGGGAAAGGUGAAAAGAACCCCGGGAGGGGAGUGAAAUAGAACCUGAAACCGUGUGCCUACAAACAGUCGGAGGGCUAUGCCGGUCUUCGGACCGGAACGCCUGACGGCAUGCCUAUUGAAGAAUGAGCCGGUGAGUUGCAGCGUGUGGCGAGCUUAAGGGAGCAUAUCCUGAAGGCGGAGGGAAACCGAGUCUGAACAGGGCGCCGUUCCCGGAUGGGAAGCCGCGCAAGCGGCAGUCGCACGUUGCAGACCCGAAACCGGGUGAGCUACCCAUGGCCAGGGUGAAACGCGGCUAACCCCGCGUGGAGGCCCGAACUCAUUGGUGUUGAAAAACCAUGGGAUGAGCUGUGGGUAGGGGUGAUAUGCCAAUCGAACCCGGAGAUAGCUGGUUCUCCCCGAAAUGCAUUGAGGUGCAGCCCCGGUUGCAGCACGGCGGUGGUAGAGCACUGGAUGGGCUAGGGCGGGAGGACCCGUGCCGAACCCAACCAAACUCCGAAUGCCGUCGUGUGGUCGCCGGGAGUGAGACGGUGGGGGAUAAGCUUCAUCGUCGAGAGGGGAACAACCCAGACCGCCAGCUAAGGUCCCCAAGUGAUGGCUAAGUGGGAAAGGAAGUGGCAUCGCUAAGACAGCCAGGAGGUUGGCUUAGAAGCAGCCAUCCUUCAAAGAGUGCGUAAUAGCUCACUGGUCGAGUGGUGCUGCGCCGAAAAUCCAACGGGGCUCAAGCCAUCCACCGAAGCUGCGGAUCUCGCGCAAGGUGUCGUCCUGCGCGGGGUGGUAGGGGAGCGUUCCGCAGUAGGCCGAAGGCGGACCGUGAGGACCGCUGGACGAUGCGGAAGUGCGAAUGCCGGCAUGAGUAGCGAAAAGGCAGGUGAGAAUCCUGCCCGCCGUAAGGCCAAGGGUUCUUACGGAAGGUUCGUCCGCGUAAGGUUAGGCGGGACCUAAGGCGAGGCCGAAAGGCGUAGCCGAUGGACAGCCGGUCGACAUUCCGGCCCCGCGGCGCAUCCGUGACGAGCCAAGGGGGGACGCAGAAGGGUAGGCCUACCGGGUGAUGGUCGUCCCGGGCCAAGCAGGUAGGCGGAGGUGCCAGGCAAAUCCGGCGCCUCAUUCAACGCCGAGAUGCGAACGCGAGCUCAAGGGCAACCGCGAGCGAAGUGGCUGAGCCCACGCUGCCAAGAAAAGCCUCGUGGCCAGGAUGCCCGCGCCCGUACCGGAAACCGACACAGGUGGCCGGGCACGCAGAGUGCCAAGGCGCGCGAGAGAACCCUCGUCAAGGAACUCGGCAAGUUGACCCCGUAACCUCGGGAUAAGGGGUGCCUUCGAGCGUUGCCGGUUCGCGCCGGCCGCGCGAGGAGGCCGCAGUGAAUCGGCUCAGCCGACUGUUUAACAAAAACACAGGUCUCUGCUAAGCCGCAAGGCGACGUAUAGGGGCUGACGCCUGCCCAGUGCCGGAAGGUUAAGGGGACGGGUUAGCUGGGGUUUGCCCCGGCGACGCCCUGAACCGAAGCCCCGGUGAACGGCGGCCGUAACUAUAACGGUCCUAAGGUAGCGAAAUUCCUUGUCGGGUAAGUUCCGACCUGCACGAAUGGCGUAACGAGCUGAGCGCUGUCUCGACGAGGGACUCGGCGAAGUUGUGAGACCCGUGAAGACACGGGUUACCCGCAGCUGGACGGAAAGACCCCGUGGAGCUUUACUGCAGCUUGCCAUUGGAUUUGGUCUUACCAUGUAGAGGAUAGGUGGGAGGCGCAGAAGCGGGGGCGCCAGCCUCCGUGGAGCCACCCUUGGAAUACCACCCUUGGCAAGAUUAAGUCCUAACCGGCAUCCUCAGCGGGUGACGGGACAGUGGCAGGUGGGCAGUUUGACUGGGGCGGUCGCCUCCCAAACGGUAACGGAGGCGCCCAAAGGUCCCCUCAGCACGGUUGGAAACCGUGCGGCGAGUGCAAGGGCAUAAGGGGGCUUGACUGUGAGGCCCACAAGCCGAGCAGGGGCGAAAGCCGGGCCUAGUGAUCCUACGCCGGCAAGUGGAAGCGGCGUGGCUUAACGGAUAAAAGCUACCCCGGGGAUAACAGGCUGAUCUCCCCCAAGAGUCCACAUCGACGGGGAGGUUUGGCACCUCGAUGUCGGCUCAUCGCAUCCUGGGGCUGUAGUAGGUCCCAAGGGUUGGGCUGUUCGCCCAUUAAAGCGGUACGUGAGCUGGGUUCAGAACGUCGUGAGACAGUUCGGUCCCUAUCCACUGUGGGCGCAGGUGACUUGAGGGGAGCUGCUCCUAGUACGAGAGGACCGGAGUGGACGGACCUCUGGUGUACCGGUUGUCCUGCCAAGGGCACGUGCCGGGUAGCCAUGUCCGGACGGGAUAAGCGCUGAAAGCAUCUAAGCGCGAAGCCCACCCCAAGAUGAGGUCACCCACCGGGUAACCGGGUAAGUCCCCUGGGAGACUACCAGGUCGAUAGGCCGCGGGUGUACAGCCGUAAGGCGUAGCCUAGCGGUACUAAUAGGACGAGGGCUUGUCCUG
rnacentral:rRNA from 1 species